rnacentral:ncRNA from 1 species
AUAGGGUAUUGGUAGGAUGUAGGAAUGACAACAGGCUCGUAAUCAUGACAUGUCAUCUAUCCUGCAAAAAGACAACUGCUUAGGUGGACAAGCCACCUUUACUUAAUCUGGAAAAGGAACAUGUAUAGUUUUAUAUAUGCUUGAUAAAUAGCCAAAAGCCUUGUCACAUCUAAUUUAGCGACACAUAUGAAUGCAUGAACAAGACUCCUACUGUUCCUACCUCCUAUCUAGCAAAAUCACAGCCAAGGGAACAGGCUUAGCUGAAUCAGUAGAGAAAGAAGACGCUGUUGAGCUUGACUCUAGCCUGGUGUUGUGAAGACACGAGAGGUGUAGAAUAACUGGGAGAGCAGGCACAUGCUCAGCAGUGCAGAGCAACCCACCCGCUGGUGUCCCAUCAGUGAAGGACCACUACUGUGAUCUGUUUUUCACUUAGCUGGUGAGGCAGGGGGUGAGCUGCAAGGACACACACACACACAAAGUAAGUUGAGGCUCAGAACUCUGAAGGACUGCAAAAAAAGAAGGCAAAAAGAAAAAGAGGCAGACACCUACAAUAAUAUACAAUAGGAACUUCACAGCAUUACAGAAUCAUUGGGGUUGGAAGCGGCCUCUGGAGAUCCCUCAAGACUUUUCAUUAGAAGCAAUGUCUAUACACACAAAACCUCAAUCACCAUUUCAGGACAUAAAGGACACAAAUUUGAUUAUUGUAUUUUUUUUGUCUCUUCCCCGUUUCAGACUGUCAUGGUUCAAGCCCAGCCAGCAAUUCAGAAACACGCAGCCGCUCGCUCACUGCCCACCCCCUUCCUUCCUCCCCCCGCUCCUGGAGGGAUGGGGAGCAGAAUCGGAGGAAUGUAACUCCCACGGGUUGAGAUAACAGCACUCCAGUAACUAAGGUAUAAUACAAACCACUACUGCUACCAAUAAUAAUGAUAAGAGGAAUAACAAGGAAAAGGACACAACCGCUCACCACCCGCCGACCGAUAC